AAAAAAAAGAAAAACUGUGAUAUUAUUUAAGUACCUAUAAUUAAAAUAAGAAUGUUUCAGAUAAUGAAUAAGAUGAUUUAUUGAAAUACAUAAAUUAAGAUGCUGGAAGGUAGCAAGUUAGAGAACGUGUUGGUGCACCUAAUAGGAGAAAUAUGGUUGUCACAGCACGGUAUUUUGGAAACAAACAGAAGAAGAAAUGUCGAACCACUGUUUUCCCUAUCAUUUGAUAAUGGCUAACAGUAACUUAGAGCAGCCACCGGUUAUGUCCUAGCUGCCACUUAUAGAUGCUAGUAUAGGGUAACAUAAGCUACUUGACAACUUUCCUCUGCUAUGGCAUAGCAGACUAUAUAAGGGAGAAGCUAAGGGAAGGAUAUUUUCGUAACAUAGAAAUAUAGUUUUAUUUU